GCUCCAUUAGUGUAGUGGUCUAGCACGUGAGAUUUUGAUUCUCGAGUCCCAGGUUCGAACCCUGGAUGGAGCU
rnacentral:tRNA from 2 species